GAUGAAGAACGCAGCGAAAUGCGAUAAGUAAUGUGAAUUGCAGAAUUCAGUGAAUCAUCGAAUCUUUGAACGCACAUUGCGCCCGCUAGUAUUCUGGCGGGCAUGCCUGUCCGAGCGUCAUUUCAAGCCUCAAGCCCCCGGGCUUGGUGUUGGGGAUCGGCGAGCCUCCGCGCCCGCCGUCCCCUAAAUCUAGUGGCGGUCUCGCUGUAGCUUCCUCUGCGUAGUAGCACACCUCGCACUGGGAAACAGCGCGGCCACGCCGUUAAACCCCCAACUUCUGAACGUUUGACCUCGGAUCAGGUAGGAAUACCCGCUGAACUUAAGCAUAUCAAUAAGCGGAGGA
rnacentral:misc_RNA from 1 species